AGUUGCCGGCUGCCCGGAGGGGCCGCGUCCGGGGAUUCAGCGGGUCACCGGGGUCAGCUCCCUGCCCGGACCGACCCGGUUCUUAGGCCUCUGCUUGGCAUGAAAGCGGCUGGGGCGGCAGGACGUGUCUGGACUGGAGGGUGCGCUUGGGUCUCGCUAGGCCUUUGCCAGCGACUUGCCGCAUGACCUUGCUCGGAUCCCCUCCCCCUACUUCCUGGGCCUCAGUUUUCUCAUCUCCUUCACAGGACGGCCAGGAGGACCAAACCCGGGAAUGGCGGGAAGCAAAUAAGAACAAGUCUUGACCCAGAAGAAUUGCUCAAAAAGACAUCUACAGACUACAGGAAUCAGUGGUGGAACUGCCUCCCAGCCAGAAAACCUGCAGGGUCAGAAUCAUUACUCCAUUUUACGGAUGCCGGAUGUCUUCUCAGCCUAAUCCUCCCAUCCAAUCCUCUGGGAAGCCUUUCAGGAUGCCCCACCCUGACUUAUCGCUGCCUUCUCUGAACUGCCAGCAAUGGAACUCAGUGGGGCGGAGGAUCAGCUUUCAUCUCCUUGCAGACACCUGG
rnacentral:antisense_RNA from 1 species